GUCAGGGAGGAGCAGAAAAAAAAUGCCAAAGAGAGAGAGGGCUGAGGCUAUUCAUCUGGAAUCCAUGCUGGAAUCAACUCCAUUUGGCACAGAAAGGCAAAUUGAAAAGCAAGUUGUUGGGUCAUUGAGAUGACAAGCCUAGGUCUUUCAUCUUCAGACACUGCUCAAGAAUAUGGAGUUCCCAUUGACAAGCAUUAUACGACUGACAGACCGCAACGCUUGGAGUUAAAAAUCAUCAUUUAUGUUCUACUGAAGAAACAAAGUCACCUACAUCUUGGAUGCCCUGGGGGAGGAAGAAACUCAUACAAGCUUUGGAACGACAUGAGGGGAUCUUUUCAUCGCUGAAGCAGAGGAAAAGGUGGGGUGGAGAGAUGUCUUUUGAAAGCCGCUGAGCUGUUUGACAAUGGAGGGUUUCCUUUGGGCUGAUGAUUGAUCGCCUUCUUAAGACAGAGACUGAGAUGACAAACUCGAUCCUUGGUAGCCCUGAGGAAGUGAAGUGCUCGCCGCUGAGAAACCGAGUAAAGCACACUGAACAGGAUUAUGAAGAGCAGCCUCCAGCUAUAAAAAAGAGAAACAUUUUUUAAAUUCUUACCUAAUGACUCGACCUGAGAACUGAACAUGCAAUCAAUAAUACAUAAAAUAGUCAGCAAUUUUUUUUCAACAAGUUUCGUUACAUUUAUUCUUAAAACAAACAUUUUUCUUCAAUAUUUAUUAUGCUAUUUGAGUGAAACGUGGUGCUGACAAUGCCAAGCUCACGAGUUGUGACUCCCAGGUAAUGCAUGAAAUGAAAAGAGUAAGUCACUUUCGAUAAAAGCGUCAACCAAAUGUGUAAAUGCGGAAAAAAAAAAAAAAAAAAAAAAAAAAAAAAAACACCUUUGCUUCACAAGUACAUGUAUCUCAUUUUAAGGUUGUUUAGUUAUUUUUACAGGAAAAAGAAAAAAUACAUAGAUUAAGAAAAUGAUUUUAUGAUUACAAUGAAGCAAUGUGUUUCAAAUCAAGUAGUGGGUGGCAUAUUUACAGAGACCAUAAUGUUGCGUGAUAUCACGCCAUAUUAACAGACCACAAACAGCCGCUGUUUGGGAAUGUUUAUAUUUAUUGUGAAAAUGAAGGCUAGGAGAGAUGGCAGAAAUCACAUCUAAUUUAAUUAGGGAAAGAGGGGGGUUUGGUAUCUAUGAGGACUGAAUAUUUUUCAUGUUGCCCCCAGUGGAAACUGGGCAUCAAUUGCUAGCUAUUUCCAGUAGUCAUUUCCCAAUUUCCCCACUUUCUCAAAGUGUAAAUAUAAACAGGUCCAAAAUAAUGCUAGCAAAAUGUCAGUUUCAGUCAGUCAAUAGCUCUGCCUCUCCUUUCUCCAAACCACUCCCUUCUCUUUGCACAAGUAUACCAAGUUUCCUCUCUCAUCUUUACUGUUUAUCCCAUUUUUAUAUAAUUCGUCCAUCUGCAGUGACAGAAAAUGUCUAAUUUGUAAUUAAAUGCCAGUCAUGGCAGGAGCACAUAUGGCAGCCUGCGGGCAGCAGAACUCGGCUGGUGGAGGGAAGGGACAGACUGUGGCUUCUGAGUCACUUGAGAACACUGUUGCUCAGUGAGGAGCACAGGCAAUCUUCACAUGUGGAGAUUGCUUUGUCUUUGUCCAUUCUCCGAUGAAUAGCAAGUGCAUUUGCCUGAAUAUCUGCCUCAGUCGCAGUCCCCCAGGGUCUAAGACACAUGCUACAUGAUUCCCCAGCAACACAUUUAUUCUGGGUUCUCAAACGGCACUUUGCAGGACUCCUGUCCAACUGAAGAGGUAAUAUACUGCUUCUGGUGAAUGGUGGCCCAUCCAGAAUGCUUCUUUUUAUGUAUGGAAUUUCAAACAUGCCUUGUGGCACUUCAUAAUAACCUGUCAGAGAGUGAAGGGUUAUUUUAACCUCAAUAGGUCUAUGCUUAUUAUACAGUGUGGGCAAAUUCAAAUGCAUAAGAUGCUAAGAGUGUAUUUAAAUGACUGGCCUUGACUUUAAGAUGCUAUAAAACAUGCAAUUAUGGGUACAAGGUAUCAUCAACAUCAACCUCAGUUUGCUCAUCCCAUUAAAGAGAUUGACCAAGAACAAGGAAGUAACAGAUCUCAUGUUUGUACUGUGUUGUGUAUGUGUAGUAUGUGAAGUAAUAGAAUAAUUCUGGUUCUGAUUCUUUUAGCAAUUUUAAAGAACAAAUAGAGUUGAAACUAUUGGGUGAACUAUCUCUUAAUGAGUUCAGGAUAAGACCUGAUUAUUAAUCAUAAUAGUGUCAAUCAUUCAAACUCAGUUCACAUUGUCAGUGGUUCAUAGUCAGCAGCUCAGCUCGAAGUGACUAAAUACUCUGAAAGGCCAUUUAAUUAGCAUCAUAAUACCUUAUUCCACUAAGCCUCUUGCUCAGAUGCAGGUGCAACACCGGAGAUCCCAAUGGGAAAAGGAGAGCAACCGCGGAGAGAUUUGAUGGAAGACUUCUGUUUGGGUGCUCAUCUGGGGAAAGGGCACUAGGUGAGCUAAUUAAAGAGAGAUUUGUUGAUGAAGAAAGAGGGCGGCCACACAGCUGCUGGCCCCAGUGACCCACUGAUCUACAUGCUAUCCACCCCACCCUUCUGGGUGACAGGCAUUAUGCCAGCUC